CCAUAAUCAUCAUUGGGGUAUCUAGUUUAAAAAAAUGUGUCCGUUGACCCGUCCAACCAACCAAGAUGGCCGCCAUGGCUAAAAAUAGAACAUAGGGGUAAAAUGCAGUUUUUGGCUUAUAACUCAAAAACCAAAGCAUUUAGAGCAAAUCUGACAUGGGGUAAUAUUGUUCUUCAGGUCAAGAUCUAUCUGCCCUGAAAUUUUCAGAUGAAUCGGACAUUCCGUUGUUGGGUUGCUGCCCCUGAAAUUGUAAUUUUAAGGAAAUUUUGCUGUUUUUGGUUAUUAUCUUGAAUAUUAUUAUAGAUAGAGAUACACUUUAAACAGC
rnacentral:lncRNA from 1 species